CGGGGGAAUCGACCCCCUCGGUGUCGUAGCCAACGCGUUAAGUGUUCCGCCUGGGGAGUACGCACGCAAGUGUGAAACUCAAAGGAAUUGACGGGGGCCCGCACAAGCGGUGGAGUAUGUGGUUUAAUUCGAUGCAACGCGAAGAACCUUACCAGGGUUUGACAUCCUGCGAAUCUCUAAGAAAUUAGAGAGUGCCUUCGGGAACGCAGUGACAGGUGGUGCAUGGCUGUCGUCAGCUCGUGUCGUGAGAUGUUGGGUUAAGUCCCGCAACGAGCGCAACCCACGUUUUUAGUUGCCAGCAUUCAGUUGGGCACUCUAGAGAGACCGCCGGUGAUAAACCGGAGGAAGGUGUGGACGACGUCAAGUCAUCAUGCCCCUUACAUCCUGGGCUACACACGUACUACAAUGCUACGGACAAAGGGCAGCAAACUCGCGAGGGCAAGCAAAUCCCAUAAACCGUGGCUCAGUUCAGAUCGUAGGCUGCAACUCGCCUACGUGAAGAAGGAAUCGCUAGUAAUCGCAGGUCAGCAUACUGCGGUGAAUACGUUCCCGGGCCUUGUACACACCGCCCGUCACACCAUGGAAGUUGGCCACGCCCGAAGUCGUUACUCCAACCCUUGUGGAGGAGGACGCCGAAGGUGGGGCUAAUGACUGGGGUGAAGUCGUAACAAGGUAACC
rnacentral:rRNA from 1 species